UACGUAGGGUGCAAGCGUUAUCCGGAAUUAUUGGGCGUAAAGAGCUCGUAGGCGGUUUGUCGCGUCUGCUGUGAAAACUGGAGGCUCAACCUCGGACUUGCAGUGGGUACGGGCAGACUAGAGUGUGGUAGGGGAGACUGGAAUUCCUGGUGUAGCGGUGGAAUGCGCAGAUAUCAGGAGGAACACCGGUGGCGAAGGCGGGUCUCUGGGCCGUAACUGACGCUGGAGGAAGCGAAAGCGUGGGGAGCGAACAGG
rnacentral:rRNA from 1 species